UACGUAGGUGGCAAGCGUUGUCCGGAUUUAUUGGGUUUAAAGGGUGCGUAGGCGGUUUUGUAAGGCAGUGGUGAAAUAUGUCAGCUUAACUGAGGGGGUGCCAUUGAUACUGCAGAGCUUGAGUACAGAUGAGGUAGGCGGAAUUGACGGUGUAGCGGUGAAAUGCUUAGAUAUCGUCAAGAACACCUAUAGCGAAGGCAGCUUACUAGGCUGUAACUGACGCUGAGGCACGAAAGUGUGGGGAUCAAACAGG
rnacentral:rRNA from 1 species